CCUACGGGAGGCAGCAGUAGGGAAUCUUCCACAAUGGGUGAAAGCCUGAUGGAGCAACGCCGCGUGAGUGAUGAAGGCCUUCGGGUUGUAAAACUCUGUCAUUCGGGACGAACCGGAGUCUGAGGAAAUGCAGACUCUCUGACGGUACCGGAGGAGGAAGCCCCGGCUAACUACGUGCCAGCAGCCGCGGUAAUACGUAGGGGGCAAGCGUUGUCCGGAUUCACUGGGCGUAAAGCGCGCGCAGGCGGUGAUGUAAGUCUGAGGUGAAAACCCGAAGCUCAACUUCGGGACUGCCUUGGAUACUGCGUCACUUGAGGAUAGGAGAGGCAAGGGGAAUUCCACGUGUAGCGGUGAAAUGCGUAGAGAUGUGGAGGAACACCUGUGGCGAAGGCGCCUUGCUGGCCUAUUUCUGACGCUGAGGCGCGAAAGCGUGGGGAGCAAACAGGAUUAGAUACCCUGGUAGUCCACGCUGUAAACGAUGAGUGCUAGGUGUAGGUGGGCUCAUACCCAUCUGUGCCGAAGCUAACGCAUUAAGCACUCCGCCUGGGGAGUACGGUCGCAAGACUGAAAACUCAAAAGUAGAAUUAGACGGNGNGAGAGNGACGAGACGACAGAGGAGAGG
rnacentral:rRNA from 1 species